GGCCUUUAAUGGGGAACUAAAACCUGCUGGGGAAAUGGGUGUGUUCAGGGGAAGCUGAGUGUUUUGUUUGCUGUUCCAGAGGGAGCUUCCCCGGGGGGGUCUCAGUUGGAUUACGAUAACGUGGAGGAGCCUGCCUUGAACAAGGUCCCCCAGACUCCAGACAGUCGAGAGGUCCCUGCCCUGCCUGGAGAUGUCCCAGGGGACGGUUAUGAUGAUGCCGGAGAAAUUUCUGACCUUGAAGAUGACCCUGGUUCUGGACCGAGUGCCCAGGAAGUCACUGGGGCCCAUGAGGAAAGCGUCAGGAACAGGGAUUCAGAGACAGGCUGGAGUCUGCACUCCCUAAGAAGUGAAGGGGCCUCUGGGGCUGAGAGUGACGUCCUGUCCCCACCUCCUCGUGACCCGGGUUAUGAUGACGUUGAUGAUGGCGUCUCUGGGACAUCAAUAUAAGAACGACUGAGUUCAGAUCAAAUAUCCUAUGAGGAUGUAAAUGCUGUAUGGUUAGACUCUUCCUGUCCCAAAUGCUCAUUGACCCGUGGGGGCAUCGGAGACAAUCCCUGCCUGGGAAUUACUUCAAUCAGCUUUUUUAUUUCAGUUUUGUUUAGAUGCAAGAAAUAAGUGUGACUGAGACAGGGGCUGCGAUUUCCCCUCUAAUUUCCCAUUGAUCAGAACUUCUCUGCUUUUUUGUUCCUAACAUUUCUUCUUUGUGAAUUUUUGCUUUUUCUUAUUAAACCUUUUUUGAAGAUCUGUUCCAGGGCUGAUGUUUCUCUCAUGAGGUCUGUUGGGUGGCUCCAUGGGGACCAGCAGGGAGAGAUAUGGAGACUGAAUCACCCAAAAGUAAUAAUGUUAAAGUGUCACUUCUCAGGUAUCAUCGACUCCAGGAUGGGCACUGCACUGAGAGUGAAUGUUUUAUCAGGGGUGUGGUAACAG